AACGUAGGUGGCAAGCGUUAUCCGGAUUCACUGGGCGUAAAGCGCGUGCAGGUGGCUUCGUAAGUUGGACGUUAAAUCUCUCGGCCUAACCGGGAGGCGUCGUUCAAUACUGCGGGGCUAGAGGGCAGAAGAGGGGGGUGGAAUUGCUGGUGUAGUGGUGAAAUGCGUAGAUAUCAGCAGGAACACCUGUGGCGAAAGCGGCCCCCUGGUCUGCUCCUGACACUCAGACGCGAAAGCUAGGGGAGUGAACGGGAUUAGAAACCCCGGUAAUCCUAGCUGUAAACGAUGGAUGCUAGGUGUGGGUGGUAUUGACCCCAUCCGUGCCGAAGCCAACGCGUUAAGCAUCCCGCCUGGGGACUACGGCCGCAAGGUUAAA
rnacentral:rRNA from 1 species